AAUUUGCUGUGAUGAUUCCUCAAGGACGGUAUCCGAUUGAGGUUGUGCUGUAAAAUGCCUUCCUCGUAUGAUUACAUCCAUACUGACAAGGAAUCCUGAGUAUAAU
rnacentral:snoRNA from 1 species